rnacentral:tRNA from 1 species
ACCUGGCUGGCUCAGUUGGUGGAGCAUGUGACUCUUGGUCUCGGGGUUGUGGGUUUGAAUCCCACAUUGGGUG